CCUCCCAUGCUAAGAACUCCU
rnacentral:miRNA from 1 species